rnacentral:misc_RNA from 1 species
AAGGAGUCUAACAUGCUUGCGAGUAUUUGGGUGUCAAACCCGGAUGCGUAAUGAAAGUGAAUGGAGGUGGGAAGCGCAAGCUGCACCAUCGACCGAUCUGGAUUUUCUAAGAUGGAUUUGAGUAAGAGCACGUAUGUUGGGACCCGAAAGAUGGUGAACUAUGCCUGAAUAGGGCGAAGCCAGAGGAAACUCUGGUGGAGGCUCGUAGCGGCUCUGACGUGCAAAUCGAUCGUCAAAUUUGGGUAUAGGGGCGAAAGACUAAUCGAACCAUCUAGUAGCUGGUUCCUGC